UACGUAGGCUGCGAGCGUUGUUCGGAGUUACUGGGCGUCAAGAGUGCGUAGGCGGUUUUCUAAGUUUGGUGUGAAAUCUCCCGGCUUAACUGGGAGGGUGCGCCGAAGACUGGAAGGCUUGAGUAUGGGAGAGGUAAGCGGAAUUCCUGGUGUAGCGGUGAAAUGCGUAGAUAUCAGGAGGAACACCUGCGGUGUAGACGGCUUACUGGACCAUCACUGACGCUGAGGCACGAAAGCGUGGGUAGCAAACAGG
rnacentral:rRNA from 1 species